rnacentral:rRNA from 1 species
GGGGGCUGUGGAGACCGGCGGAUGGGUGAGUAACGCGUAGGUAAUUUGCCGCAGGGCCGGGGAUAACCCACCGAAAGGUGAGCUAAUACCCGAUAAUGCAGCGGGGCCGCAUGGCCACAGUUGUUAAAGCCUUCGGGUGCCUUGCGAUGAACCUGCGUGCCAUUAGCUAGUUGGUAGGGGAAGGGCCUACCAAGGCGAUGAUGGCUAGGGGGUCUGAGAGGAUGAUCCCCCACACUGGGACUGAGACACGGCCCAGACUCCUACGGGAGGCAGCAGUGAGGAAUCUUGCGCAAUGGGGGCAACCCUGACGCAGCCACGCCGCGUGCUGGAAGACGGCCCUAUGGGUUGUAAACAGCUUUUACUGGGGAAGAACCUGGAGGUUUCGAUCUCCACUGACGGUACCCAGUGAAUAAGCACCGGCUAACUCCGUGCCAGCAGCCGCGGUAAUACGGAGGGUGCAAGCGUUGUCCGGAAUCAUUGGGUGUAAAGGGUGCGCAGGCGGAAGUCUAAGUCGGAGGUGAAAUCUUGCCGCUUAACGGUAAAAGGGCCUUCGAAACUGGAUUUCUUGAGUUCGGAAGAGGUCGGUGGAAUUCGUGGUGUAGCGGUGAAAUGCAUAGAUAUCACGAAGAACACCAGUGGCGAAGGCGGCCGACUGGUCCGAUACUGACGCU